rnacentral:rRNA from 1 species
ANAGUUUGAUUCUGGCUCAGAAUGAACGCUGGCGGCGUGCUUAACACAUGCAAGUCGUACGAGAACUCUUCUGCUUGCAGAAGAUAGUAAAGUGGCGCACGGGUGAGUAACGCGUGGGUAAUCUGCCUUCGAAUCGGGGGUAACAUCGCGAAAGCGGUGCUAAUACCGGAUAACAUCACUUCGGCUUUGGCCCUUGUGAUCAAAGGUGGCCUCUACAUGUAAGCUACUGUUUGAAGAUGAGCCCGCGUACCAUUAGCUUGUUGGUAGGGUAAUGGCCUACCAAGGCGACGAUGGUUAGCUGGUCUGAGAGGAUGAUCAGCCACACUGGAACUGACACACGGUCCAGACUCCUACGGGAGGCAGCAGUGAGGAAUUUUGCGCAAUGGGGGAAACCCUGACGCAGCAACGCCGCGUGAGUGAUGAAGGCUUUCGGGUCGUAAAGCUCUGUCAAGUGGGAAGAACCUGAACUGUGCCAAUACCACAGUUCACUGACGGUACCACUGAAGGAAGCACCGGCUAACUCCGUGCCAGCAGCCGCGGUAAUACGGGGGGUGCAAGCGUUAUUCGGAAUCAUUGGGCGUAAAGGGCGCGUAGGCGGUCUUGUCAGUCAGAUGUGAAAGCCCGGGGCUCAACCCCGGAAGUGCAUUUGAAACUAUGAGACUUGAGUAUGGGAGAGGGAAGUGGAAUUCCUGGUGUAGAGGUGAAAUUCGUAGAUAUCAGGAGGAACACCGGUGGCGAAGGCGACUUCCUGGACCAAUACUGACGCUAAGGCGCGAAAGCGUGGGGAGCAAAC